UUUAACAAGUUUGUGUACAUUCUACUUCAUUUAUCUUCGAGAAUUACGUAAAAGAAAGAUAUACUAUGAAGUUCUGUGUCCACCUUGUCAAUUGGUGGGACUGCAAAUCAGUUCUGGUGUUUAGCUGUUGAUCACUGAAUUAUGGUCAUCCUCGUUUUUCUCAAGAUUAACAAGAUACGUUCCAGGUAGCUGUGAAUAAGCUGUUGUAUUUUUUACACCACCCGCUUCAUCAGGAUCAUAUUUUACGAAGAUUACGAAGAGAAUGAACAAGAUGAUUUGAAAGAUGAUUGCAAUGAGGGAAAACUUCAUGUUUCUUCACUUCUAGAUGUGAUCACUGGCACACUUAGAGCAGUCUGGAAGCAGAAAGGUGUAUGUCCAAAUACUUCAACUCUUCGACCGUGCUCUCAUAUUUCACUGGCUACCAGAGAGAAAGAGAGAGAGAGACAGCAAUUGUACCCACGUUAAUGCCAACGAGGCACAUACACACAGUGGCGUAACUUCUAUGAGCUCUUGUGGGGGAGCAGAACAGAGCCAUGGGCAGCUAAGUAUUCAGGUUGGAAUGGUGCAACCUGAACAGUGUUGUUUAUGAAAACAAAUAUAGAAGUAGGUUUAUAUUUGGGAAAAUGGAAGCACUGGAUAGUUCUUAUUAAAAGUCAUGUUUGAAUUCGUGUUCCUUGUAAUUUAAAAGUUGUACAUUGGGUAUUUUUCGAGUUAAUAUUGCAUUCUGUUAACGAUUUUUAACGAAAAUGUUUAAGUUGUCAGAUUUCGGUGUUAGGAGAGGCACGCCAUCCAAAAAGGACCACAGGCAGCCUGAUUCAAACUUACACCACUGACCCGACAAUUACAUUGGUUGUUUAGUUAAGAAAUAAGAUAUGUUUACUGUGUUUGUACAGGCUUUUGCAAAGCAAAGAGACCUUUGGGAGAACUCAAGAGUUGAUCAGUGCUACUUGCUGGUUUUAAUGUGAAACAAAAUGUUUUUGAUUUGCCGACUCGUGAACUAUUAUACGACGAUAAAGUCUUCUGGGAAAUCUUGGACAGAAUAUUUGUAAUUUGGAAUCUCUGGCUAAAUAACAGGAAAGAAAACAAAUCACAUACUGGAGGGCCCUUGUCACAAGAGCAAGCGUCAGACAAAAAAAAUGCGUCAUCUCCACGUAUAUUCUUUUUUAUAACCGAAUCUGCUCAUAAAUAUCAUAAAUUUUCAUAUAGAUAUACUUCAUGCAUUGAUUGGUAAAAUAUACCCUUGUGAUGCUGCAGUAAGUCCGACUUUUACUAAUGUAUCGUUGUUUAUGUCUUUUUAAUUAAGAUAAUAAUGAUUUUCUUUGAAAU